CAAGAAAAAGAAAAAAGAAUUCUAAGUACAACGAUCAUGGACGUGCUCUCUAUCUUCAUUCUAAUGACUCUGGUAGGAAAAUGUCAAGGGAACAUUUAUCUAAUUUAUCAAGGGGAAAAAUAAGAUAUAUCCCUACAAUGUGAAGGGAGUUUUUGGCAGAUUGACCUAGAUCAAAACAACAAGGUGGAUUGCACUUUUAAUGACAAUAAGAAGAAAUGUGACCAGGAUUUGAAUGGGAAGAACAGAACACUUGAACUAGAAGAAAAAUCCUGCAUAAAUCUAAGUAUUAAACAAUGCUUUAAUAUGAAAUUGGAAAAAAACAUCACUGGAUUUUUUGCGUGUUUCCGCAAUGUCCAAUCAAUUGAUGGAUACCUAUUCCCCUUUAAACCAUCAAAAGAUCUAGUGGCUUUUUAUAUUGUGGCAUUUGUUGCAUCAGAGAUGGUGAUACCUGACCCUGGUGUGGAAACUAAAACU